AAAAACGCGAGGAACGGGGUCCGAAGUCUUUCGUUGGUCACACACACAUGCAUCUACCGUUGGAUUGCGCUACAUCGAGUCUACCCAUCUCUCUCGAUCUACCAUGAUUUUUUCUGCUAUCGCACUCAUCUGGGAGUUAGGCAUCCUCAGUCUGCCCAGAACUUUCGUUGUGGAAGGAUGUGCGGGAGUGAUGUGCGAUUUCUUGUGUCCCCUACUUUCCUUGUUUACGUUUUGCGCAGUGUUGCUUCUUCUUCCAUUGUGGAAUGAUUUAUCCUAGCAAAUUGUUGAGUUACAGGUGCAUGCGCCAUUCAUCAACGCCUACCUGUUGGCAUCAUCAACAAUCUUUAUAGUAGGUGACGGAGAGAAAUUGUUUUCCAGUUUUAAAAUAUUAAGCGUUCAGCACAACUCAGCCACAAAACAACGCACUGGAUUGCGCUAAGAACCUGUCGAAACGCGCGCAGCCCCCGGGAGCGGUAGGAGAAAGGAAGAACGAGAGGAGAAAAAACUAAAGCCAGCGCGCAGCUCUGAUGGUACCCCGUACGCGGUAAGAAGAAAAAAGAUCGAGAGGAGGAAGAACGGUAAAUUUGGAAGGGGGAGACCGUUCUGCCGUCUCCACAGUGUGAGUAUGCCAAAGCACGUGUUGGAAGGGAAAGAAAAAGUGUGGAAUAAACCGCAUGCGAAUGUGUGCAUACAGCAAAAGUAAA